rnacentral:rRNA from 1 species
AUGUCGGUUAAGUCCGGUAACGAGCGCAACCCUCGCCGUCAGUUACAAGUGUCUGGCGGGACUGCCCGUUGAACGCGGGAGGAAGGUGGGGAUGACGUCAAGUCAGCAUGGCCUUAAUGUCCAGGGCUACACACACGCUACAAUGGCCGGCACAGAGGGUCGCCAACCCGCGAGGGGGAGCCAAUCCAAGAAAGCCGGUCUCAGUUCGGAUUGCAGGCUGCAACCCGCCUGCAUGAAGUCGGAGUUGCUAGUAAACGCGCAUCAGCCAUGGCGCGUUGAAUACGUUCCCGGGCCUU